rnacentral:rRNA from 1 species
CAGUUGGAAACGACUGCUAAUACUCUAUAUGCCUUUAAGACAAAAGUCUGCAAGGGAAAUAUUUAUAGCUCUAGGAUCGGCCUGUACGGUAUCAGCUAGUUGGUGAGGUAAUGGCUCACCAAGGCAAUGACGCCUAACUGGUUUGAGAGGAUGAUCAGUCACACUGGAACUGAGACACGGUCCAGACUCCUACGGGAGGCAGCAGUGGGGAAUAUUGCACAAUGGGGGAAACCCUGAUGCAGCAACGCCGCGUGGAGGAUGACACAUUUCGGUGCGUAAACUCCUUUUAUAUAGGAAGAUAAUGACGGUACUAUAUGAAUAAGCGCCGGCUAACUCCGUGCCAGCAGCCGCGGUAAUACGGAGGGCGCAAGCGUUACUCGGAAUCACUGGGCGUAAAGAGCGUGUAGGCGGGUUAAUAAGUUUGAAGUGAAAUCCUAUGGCUCAACCAUAGAACUGCUUUGAAAACUGUUAACCUAGAAUAUGGGAGAGGUAGAUGGAAUUUCUGGUGUAGGGGUAAAAUCCGUAGAGAUCAGAAGGAAUACCGAUUGCGAAGGCGAUCUACUGGAACAUUAUUGACGCUGAGACGCGAAAGCGUGGGGAGCAAACAGGAUUAGAUACCCUGGUAGUCCACGCCCUAAACGAUGUACACUAGUUGUUGUGAGGCUAGACCUUGCAGUAAUGCAGUAAACACAUUAAGUGUACCGCCUGGGGAGUACGGUCGCAAGAUUAAAACUCAAAGGAAUAGACGGGGACCCGCACAAGCGGUGGAGCAUGUGGUUUAAUUCGACGAUACGCGAAGAACCUUACCUGGACUUGACAUAGUAAGAACUUUCUAGAGAUAGAUUGGUGUCUGCUUGCAGAAGCUUAUAUACAGGUGCUGCACGGCUGCC